ACCAUUUGAUCAUUAUUGAGUUUUAAAUCAAUUUAUUUCAUUUUCAUGGCAAACAUUUUGACCCUACAUUCAUCAUCAAGUUUCUCUCUACUCAUUCAGUGGAUUUGGCUGAUUCAAGGCUUUAAUUAAACCUUCCCACUCCCUCUAUCUGACCCAACAAGUUUCACAUUCAGAUCAUCUCCCAAUCUCUCUAACCAAUCUCACUAAGUUGCCUACUUGAUCUUCAAAUUUCAAGUUUUGGAGUUUUGAACUUUUUCAAAGGUAAGUACCAUUUAUACUAAUCACUUGGACUUGAAACUUUUACUGUACGAUCAUGAUGCUAUAAGAUAAUUUCUGGCAAAGUUUGAGAAUUUUUGGAGCACUAGAUUAAUUACUACAAGUUUUGCAUGAUAACUGGACUUUUAAUUGGUUAGAAAGUAUGGAAUAUGUUAUAAAAUUUUCUAGAGCCUGAUUUAGGUCAUGAUAAUUACAUAGAGCUUACGUAUAGGUCUAAUAUCAUCCCUGGAAGUUUUAUAAAUUAUUUCACCAAUUUUAGUAAUUUAUGUGAUUUUUAGUUAAUUAAAUAAGUAAUAUAUGUUUUAAAGUGUUUAAAAAUAGAGUAAUAUUGUAAAAUAAAUUUUCCAGUGAUCAAGUAUGUUCAUAUAGUUUAUGUAGGUGUUCCUAAAGUUUCCAGAGACUUAACUCACUGAUUUAGUAAUUUUAAGUAUUUUUAGUAUAAUAAUAGACUUUUUAGGACUAUUUAAUGGUUUAGAAAUAGUUUAAUAGUUCCAUAAAAUCAAUGAAAAUUUUCCAGAGUCACAAAAGAGUUUAUAAACAAGUUAGAGCUCUGAAAAUCAUUUAUUGAUAUUUUUCUUGUAAAUUAGCUAUUUUUAGGUGUUUUUCUUUAAAAUGGUUAAUUAAGUUUUUACAUUUAAAAUUGGUAAUACGUUUUAAAAAUAUUUCCAGAGGUUAGAAAAUAGUUUUUAUAUUAUAACUGAACUUAGGAGCAUAAAUAUUAAUAAAUUUGAACUUCAUAACGUUUUUAUUGUUUUAAUAGCUAUUUUAAGUAAUUUUGUAUAAAUUGGUUAAUUUAGUAAUUAGUUAAAAAUGGUUAGUUGGGUUAAUAAUUUUUCCAGAUAGUAGAAAUUUUUUUUGAUGAUGUAAUCUGACUUAGAAAAAUUUAAUUUGUCAUUUUUAACAUUUUUAGCAUUUUUAUAUGUUUUUAAGUAAUUAUUUGCUAUUUAAUUUGUUAAAAAGGACAAAACGGUAAUUUCACAUGUCUUAAGGGUAUUUCUGGAAUUUUGGGCAAACUUAAGGACUCCAGAUUAAAACCUAUAAUUAAGUACUAAAAUAAAUAUUACCUUUAUUAAUUAAUUUAAGUUUUAAAAGGAUCAUUAUUUAAUAUUAUGCAAUGCCGUUUGACGAUUGAUCCGUUUCCGAUUAUUCACGCGGUUAAAGGUUAGGGUAACUCCGUCAUUUACUUUCAGAUAGCAUGACUUUAUUCAUUAUCUGUUCCACCUAUUAUUGAUGGAUUGAUGGAGUAUUAUUAUCUUGGUUAUCUUAUUGAUUAUGAUGAACUGAGGUUCACUUUUAUCGUUGAUGAAUUGGAACUUUUAUUGGUUAUGUUGAAUUGAGGUCACUCUUAUUAUUGUGUGGCUAACCAUAUCAUUUCAUUAGGAGUGGCGGGUUAGUGGUCUCGACCACGCGCCGUCCCGUCCUACGGGGCGUUACACUUCAAGCGGCGGUUUCUGUUUUCGUUCAGUUACUGUCCCACCUUUCGAGGUGCAAUUGUUAAUGUUAUUAUUAUUAUCAAGCGGCAGCCGGAGACUGUCCCACAUGUGCAAAUUUUUAAGUGGCCCCAACGGUUAUCGUUCCGUUGUUACCCAUCGGGGUAUUAUUAUUAUUAUUGAUCGAUCCAUUUUGUAGAGAGCAUAUAGACAUUUAGGAAGACUAACCCUUAUUCGCUAUAUGCUGCUUCUUUAUUUAACUUGCAAUCUGAUUUAUGUUUAAUGCAUGAGUUAACCCUUUCAUUGUUGCUUGUCUUGUUGUUUUUGGCGUUCGUCUGCCAUUAGGUGCGGAUGCGGAUGAACAGAAGUGAUGACUUGGUUUUCUGUUAUGGCGGAUUUGAAUAAAGGACUUUAUAUUUUAUUUUCUUGUUGUUGUGUAAUAAUUAUAACUUAUUCGGGAUACUGGGUAUGUAAUAUUAUUAUUGUAUCGUGUUAAGUUUCUCGCGAGGUUUUCGAACUUAUAACUGUUCGUUUUAAAAAAAAAAAAUUCCGUGGUUCCGUGAACCUUGGUCAAUCGUUAGGUUACCUAAUGCGACGUCCCAGUUACCUUAAUUGGGGCGUUACACUUUGCAUUCAUGCACACAUUUUGAGGUUAAUACACGGCGUGAUACCGGACCUCGGUGGAUUCCAAAAUGGUCAUAAGACCCGGAUUUCCAUAUUUAGGACACUACGGUGGUCCUUAGUAGCAGAUGGAAUGGCAGACCUACGGGUUCACUGCUGAUCUGACUACUUUUGUGUGGUGUAAGUUACGCCCGAGCGGAAUGGUCCCACUAUGGCCGGUGUUAGGGCUGACUCGAUGGUGUCCGUCCUUCUUCCGGAAUGCAUCUUGUCAACCAGCAUUGCAUUUCAUGCAACAUUCAUACUGACUUAGUUGCUGAGUGUGAUUGGUACUUGUUAAUCCUAUUUGAUGCAUGCUAAUUGUUAUUAUCGUCUUUUAUAUUCAUUGUGGAAUAUGCAACCCUAGGAUGUUAUCCCUAAACUUAUAAGCCGGAGAGGCUAAAUAAUUAUUAUCCUAUAUAUCUGGUUUUAAUAUUUAUAUAAUUCUUCGGAGUUGACCCUCGCGUCUUCUGUGUGUGUUUGGGCGGACUACGCCAUUGUCCGUUGAGUAUGGCGGACCGGUAUGAGACGGUCGUCCCUUCGGGGGGGACCAGGUUUGAUAUGUUGGACCAAGACACCCCGGGCUCAUGGGUGGUCGACCCCGCCGGCCACCGAGCUAUCUAUUCGGGGCGAAUAAUGGAGGAUCGCAUUGACCGGAUGCCAAGUCUGACGCACGGAGUUUGGAGGCGCUACACGGUCAGCUUCAACUUGCCACCGGGUGUACACUGCGGACCUGGACUGGGAGUACCACCACCACCGUCGCCUUCGGACGACGAGGACCCCUCGGAGGAGGUGCCUGUGGGAGGGACUUAUUCAGGCACUAGUUCACCCACUGUCGCGGCUGCUAUUGACUUGGGAUCGGGUGCAGAACCCGUGCGACCAGCUGUGGAGACCGAUGCAGUCAUCGACAUAGUCGUCUUGGAUUCAGAUUCAGACGACGAUCUUGGGGAUGCAUAGUUGGGAAUGCGGUGAUGUGCUCCUCUAGUUGGUAUUAGUCUAGGAGUAGCGUCUUGGCUCUGAUGUUCAGUCUUUCGUUUUGGGCAGGGUAGGUCCCCGACCUUUAGCUUUUCUUGUGGUUCUCUUUACGGGUAUUACAGAGGGUUGGUCGGUUUAGGAGGUCUUUGUUGGCUGACCUACUGUUGUAGAGAGGACUGUAUUUGGAACUCUUGUCCUUUUGUUCCGGUUUGUACGUAUUUGCCACGGGCACUACUUUCGGUCAGUUACCCGUCACUAGAGGUUACUCGUGACGUGGUUUUGUUACUUACAGCGGGGGCUGUAAUUAUCUAUCGUAUAGUAGUUCUGCUAUCUUUUGUUGUUGAGUUUCAUUUCUUUCAGUUUCUAAUUCCUUUACCAAAAAAAAAAAUUCACGUUUUUCCGCAUUAAGUAUUUCUUUUGGUUACGAAAGUGACGCCACCGAAAUCGGGGUGUUACACGGUAAUUGUGGCCUCUCGGGAGAAUUGAUGACUGCAUCAAAGAUGCACUUGUUAUUGCUAGUACUAGUACAUCUGACAAUUCUGAAUUGAUUAGUUUCCAUAGCCCUGGACUGUGGAAAAAUGGAGUAUCCCGAACCUACACCGAGAUAUUGACGACGAUUCUCAAAUAUCGCAGAACAGAAUGGGAUACGAUGAGAUAGAAUGCAAUAGAAAAAAAGACAGGGGGAACAGGUUACCUGCUCUUAACGGUCAAAGCGAACCCUUUCAUUCCGAAUUCUUUUACUCGGAAUGAAUCAAAUCUCCCCAAGUAGGAUUUGAACCUACGACCAAUCGGUUAACAGCCGACCGCUCUACCACUGAGCUACUGAGGAACAAUGGGAAAAUCUAUCUCAUAGAGUUCAAUUCCCGUUCUUAACCCAUGACCAAUAUGAGCUCGAAGUUUUCUUCGUAACUUGUCGAAUGUAAGACCCACUUUUAAUCAAUGUAUUAUGUCCUUUUUAUUAUGAAAAUAUUUGAAUUAUUAAUUAUUCUCAUUUAGGAUUUUAUUCCAUUUUAUUAAGAUUAUUCAAAAGUUAAUAGAUUUAUUUUCUAUUAGCUAAGUUUAUUUCAUUUAAAAUGGAAAUAUUCUUAUUUCCAUAUUCACAAUGAAAAUACUCUCAUUUAUAUUUUUCCACAUAUUUGGAAAGUUAAUUAUGUUAGUGGAAUUUUCCUAACAUUUUCCAAUUAAUAGUUAAAUCGUUAUUAUAUUCAGAAAUUGGGAAAUAUUAUUGUGAAGAUCAAUUUGUGAAAGUUAUGGUCAUUUUAGGAUCAUCAUCAUUGAUUAUACUUAUGAUAAUUCUCUGGCAAUUUAUUUUUGGGUUUUGGAUUUUAAAUUGAUUAUUUCAAUAUUUACCGAUUUUUCAGUUUAUCGGUAAAAGAAAGGAAAAUAUUAUCACGUUAAAUAUUUUUGAGAAAUCAUUUUUAAAACCUAACCAUAAUUACCUAUAUUAUUGUUAGGAUUUUUCUAGGGUAUUUUGGUUGAUUUAUGAUUUUUGGUUAAUUUUUAAUGAUUUUACCUUUGGUAAAUAGUUUAAAAUUCGAAAUAAAUGGUAAAUAAUAUUUAUUAAUUUUGGAAAAUUAUUCUUUAACCUUUAAUCAUCAUUUAUGAGUGCUUGGGACCCUUAUUGACUCAGAUCACACGAAAUUUGGCACCUUAUGAUCAUUAGGAAAUUUUUAAUCAAAUUAUUCCUUUUUAAUGGCCAACACAUAACCCUACCUUCAUCAUCACCUUAUGCAGCACUCACUUAGUGUUUUUGGCUCAUUCCAAGCCUUAAUUAAUCCUCUCCAUGCCCUCUUUCUGAACUAACAAUCCUCAUGCUCAGAUUUCCCUCCUAUCUCUCUAUAUAAUCUCUCAAAGUCACCUAGAUGAUCACAACAUAGAAAGAUCACCUAAAACACAAAUUUAUUUUUCUAGCCUUCAAAUUCAAAAUUGGGCUUCGAUGUUGUGUUCAUAAUCAUCCUAGGAGUCUCCCACAAAAAUUUCAGCUCAAUUGGAGGUCCCUAACACAAAAUCUGCUCAAAACAUCAAACUUGAUCUUCAAAUUUCAAGUUUUGGAGUUUUGAACUUUUUCAAAGUAAGUACCAUUUAUACUAAUCACUUGGACUUUAAACUUUUACUGUAUGAUCAUGAUGCUGUAAGAUAAUGUCUGGCAAAGUUUGAGAAUUUUUGGAGCACUAUAUUAAUUACUACAAUUUUUGCAUGAUAACUGGUCUUUUAAUUGGUUAGAAAAUAUGGAAUAUGUUAUAAAAUUUGUUAGAGCCUGAUUUAGGUCAUGAUAAUUACAUAGAGCUUCAGUAUAGGUCUAAUAUCAUCCCUGGAAGUUUUAUAAAUUAUUUCACCAAUUUUAGUAAUUUAUGUGAUUUUUAGUUAAUUAAAUAAGUAAUAUAUGUUUUAAAAUGUUUAAAAAUAGAAUAAUAUUGUAAAAUAAAUUUUCCAGUGAUAAAGUAUGUUCAUAUAGUUUAUGUAGGUGCUUUUAAAUUUUCCAGAGACUUAACUCACGGAUUUAGUAAUUUUACGUAUUUUUAGUAUAAUAAUAGACUUUUUAGGAUUAUUUAAUGGUUUUAAAAUACUUUAAUAGUUUCAGAAAAUUCAUGAAAUUUUCCCAGUGUCACAAAUGAGUUUAUAAACAUUUUAGAACACUGAAAAUCACUUAUUGGUAUUUUUCUCAUAAAUUAGCAAUUUUUAUGAAGUUAACUUUAAAAUUGGUUAAUUUAGUAAAUAGUUUAAAUUAGUUAAUUGGCUUAGAAAUUUUCCAGUAAGUAAAAAUAACUUUUAUGAUAUAAAUUGACUUAAGAUGAUGCAAAUAAUUAAUUGUAGCAUUUAUAGAAUUUUUAUUGUUUUAUUAGCCUUUUUAAGCAAUUAUCUAUGAAGAUUGGUUAUUUUAUAUAUAAUUAAAAAUGGUUACAUAGCUUUAAUAAUUUUCCAGCAAGUUAGUUUUAUGGAGAAUAUUUUAUAAGUCCAUAAAUGAUUUUAGAACUUUAGUUUAUUAUAUCUCUCAAUUUAUUGGAUUAUCAACAAUUUAAUUGGUUUCUUAAGUAUUUUCCUAAAAUGUGGUUUUUGGGUUAAAGUUAUAGGAAUCUUCCAUAAACAAUAUUUGACUUUAUAAAUUUAUAUGGUAUAAAAGACUUAUGUUUCAAUUAAAAGAAUUUAAUAUUUAUUGUAUUGAUUUACUUAGUCAAUUGGAUAUUAUCAAGUAUUAAGUUGAUUAAUGAGUGUUUUAAUCAAAAGAAUUAUGUUAUAAAAUUGGCUUUGUUAUGUAAGAUAAAGUUUAUUAAUACUUGACAAGUUUUAUUCACUUAUGUUUAGUUGGUUUAGAAUUUAUUUAAUUAUGAAAAGUAUUUUAUAAUGAUUAUAACUUUAGCUUUCUAGAAAACUGUUUUUGUCAACUAGAAGUAUUGAGGGUAAAUAUUUGAUCAAAUUGAUUUAUUUAUAUUAGAGUUAAGCAAACUAAUUGAUUUUUAUAACCAAUGGUUUAAUUAAACUAUGAUUUAUAUUAUGAUAUUAAUACCUUAAGUUUAACUUUAUAAUUAGAGUUUAAGCUCCAUUAAUCAGUUAUUUAGUGAUUAAAUGAUUAUGGGUAAAUCAAGUAAUUUUAUAAGGUUUAUUAAAGUUUAUUAAUACUUGAAUAAAGCUUAGUUUUGAUUAUUGGGAAUUAAUCAAUGGAAUUUAAGAUUAAAUUCGUACUUAAUUUUAUUGGUUUAAAAUGAACUUGGAGAUUCUGUAAUUUAAUUGAAAUAAUAGAAGUAAUGUGAUCAUAAUCAUAUAUUUAUUUUAUAUGACAUUCCAGAACUUUAAACUUUCAUAUUUAUUAGUUUAAAAGGUUUUAAUUGAAUUGUUAAGUUUUCUAGCUUUAUAUUAAAUUGAGAAAAAUAUUUAUAAUGCUCAAUUAUUCAUUUAAAAAUUAUUUCAGCUAUAAAAAAAAAAUUGAUGAUUUAUUUAAUGAUCAGACUUGGGGAAUUUAAUUUAUCAAUUUUAGUACUUAAAUCAUUUUUAUAAGUUUUUAUGAAUUUAUUAACUAUUUAAUUGAUAAAAAGGGUAAAACGGUAACUUCACAUAUCUUAAGGUUAUUUUUGUAAUUUUGAUAAACUUAAGGACUUCUGAAGAAUCACCUAUAAAUACAAGGACUUAAGUGAAUAGUAUCUUUAUUAUUUACUUAAAAAUUAAAAAGAGUUAUUAUUUAAUAUUAUGCAGCGUUGAUUGGCGGUUCAGUUCGAUACCUCUCGUGGUAAAAGGUUAGGGUAACUUCGUCAUUUACAUUCAGAUAGCAUGUUUUAAUUAUUACAUUUAGUACUGUUUAUCAGUUAUCUGAUCAAUAUAUAUUAUUGAUGAAAUAUUGUUGUCAUGGACAUCAUUACUUCUAUGCUAGCAUGUCAUACUGUCGAGUAUGUUCUGCUGAUGAUUUCGAUAUCUUAUUGAUUAUGACGAACUGAGGUUCACUUUUAUCGUUGAUGAAUUGGAACUUUUAUUGAUUAUGUUGAAUUGAGGUCACUCUUAUUAUUGUGUGGCUAACCAUAUCAUUUCAUUAGGAGUGGCGGGUUAGUGGUCUCGACCACGCGCCGUCCCGUCCUACGGGGCGUUACACUUCAAGCGGCGGUUUCUGUUUUCGUUCAGUUACUGUCCCACCUUUCGAGGUGCAAUUGUUAAUGUUAUUACUGUUAUCAAGCGGCGGUUUCUGUUUUCGUUCAGUUACUGUCCCACCUAUCGAGGUGCAAUGUGGUAUUUGUUAUCAAGCGACGGUUACUGUUUUCGUUCAGUAACUGUCCCACAUCUCGAUGUGCAAUUAUUAUUGAUUAUUAAGCGGCAGCCGGAGACUGUCCCACAUGUGCAGUAUUUAAGUGGCCCCAACGGUUGUCGUUCCGUUGUCACCUAUUGAGGUGUUAUUGAUCGAUCCAUUUUAUAGAGAGCAUAUAGACAUUUUAGGAAAGCUAACCCUUCUUUGCUAUAUGCUGUCUGUUUAUUUAUUGCAAAUCUGAUUUAUGUAUUAUGCACAAGUUAACCCUAUCUUCUGUUGUUUUUUUGUUUUGGUUUUUGGGCGUUUGUCCGCCCUCAGGUCAUCAGAGUGCGUAGCGGAAGCAUAAUGAAUCUUUCAGUAAUGGAUUAAAGUCAGAGAAGAUUGUCUUCUCAUAUUUUCUGUAAUAAAAGUCACGUUCGCGAUCGAUCCUAGAGUUGACGUUCGUACAAAUUUUUGUACUACUAUUAUUACUCGGGUUAAUGGGUAUUAUAUUCUAUCGUUAUACUCACGUUAAUUCCAUCGCGUUUAAAUCGAUAAAUGUUUUAUUGAACUAAUAUCUGUUUUAUUCGAUAGACUGUAUCCAUUUACCAAACAAGUAAGACCCGUGAACUGUUGUCUAAGUAAGAAGGACUUUUUACAAGGCUAGCCGGUCCAGCUUACUUGGAUACCUUCCAGUUUUUUACUUGAUAAUAAAUGGACAUUGUUCUAAGUGUUUUAAGCAGCAUCUUUUAAUUCGAAACAAAAUUCCCUGUAGUCUCGUUAGUACAAGUUACCUCCGCGUUUAUUCGGUUACUAAUGUUAACAUCUCAGUUCCUCCUGAAUUGGGUCGUUACAUCGAACUUCUUCGCAGUGGCUCCGUUCCAUGCCUUAUUUCAUAGCGAACCUCAAAGUGGCCCUAUUUCAUUAUAUUACAUCCAUAUACUAAUUUCAUUCAUUGAAUAUUCCUCUAUCUUUGGUGUCAUUGAGAUAAAAGAGAUGUCGUUUCUAGUCUUUCUAUUUCUAUAUAUAUAUAGAAAUAGAAAGAAAAAAUUGAAAAAUUAUCAUAUAAUAAUCCAAAAAUUGCAAUAAUAAUUCAGAAAUUGCAAUAGAAAAGAAAAAAGAGGUUUGCGAUGAUUUUUCAAUCUUUUAUUCUGGAUAAUCUAGUAUCCUUAUGCCUCAAGAUAAUUAAUUCGGUCAUUGUGGUCGGACUCUAUUAUGGAUUUAUGACCACAUUCUCCACAGGGCCCUCUUAUCUAUUCCUUCUUUGAGCUCACGUUAUGGAAGAAGGGACCGAGAAGAAAAUAUCAGCAACAACUGGGUUUAUUACGGGAUAGCUCAUGAUGUUCAUAACGAUCUAUUAUGCGCCUUUGCAUAUAGCAUUAGAUAGACCUUAUACAAUAACUGUCAUAACUCUACCGUAUCUUUUUAUUAUAUUUCCUCGGCAAUAAUCAAAAAAACUUUUUGAAUUAUGUAUACAAGAAUCAAAAUUCAAUACGUCAUUUUAGUAUUCAAAUAAUAUUCUUUCAGAAUCUUUUUUUUUUUCAGUUAUUAAACCCCUUUUUUUUACCAAGUUCAAUCUUAAUGAGAUUAGCGAACAUUUAUAUCUUUCAAUCAAACAAUAAAGUCUUAUUUUUAACAAGUAGUUUUGUCAUAUAAAAAAAGAAUAAAAAAUUAUUAAAAAUAAUAAUACAAAAAAUAAGAUAUACGAAGAAAUUCGCCCACUUCCUACAUAUUUAAAAGCCUCCCUAUAAGAAAACUUGUAAUACCAACUGCAUUUGGAAUUCCAUCAAUUACUUGUCUAUCAAAAAAAGAAUUUAGUUUCGCUAAUUUUCUUACAGAGGCAAUAAGAGAUAUUUCAUAAAAUCCAUCCAUAUAGCCGCGAUUAUAUGACCAAUCAUAUAUGCCAUUUAUUAUUGUAUUGUAUCAGCUAAAAUUUUUUUAGGAAGAUUCUUUUCAAAUAAAUUUAAUAAAUUCAAAUUUUGUAAAGUCGAAUAAACUGGUUUAUAGAAAAAAGACGCUAUAAAAAUUCCGAAAAAAGCUAUACUCACCGAAAAAGUUGCAUUUGUAAAAAAUUCAUACCAAUCUACAGACUUGUUUGAAUUUUGGUGCAAAAGGUCUAUUGACGGACUUAACAAUUUGGAUAAUAUAUCUAAAUCUAUUCCUUCUUGGUUAAAGGAAAUUCCUAUGGCUCCGACGAAGUAAGUAAAUAGUACUAAGACAAGCAUAGAAAAUAACAUAGUAUUGUCAGAUUCAUGAGGAUAAAAACAAGGAAACUUUUUAGGACCAAAAUAGGUACUAUGAAUGAAAAGACGUGUUAUGCUUUUCACAUUUCGAUUAAUUUUAGAUAAAUAUGCCCUUUUGCGAAACAAUGAAGUCCUUUCAUUAUUAGUCAUUGUUAAUAAAGAUAAUAAAUGAAUUUUUUUUUUAAUUUUUUUUUUCCUUCUUUACCCCAUAAAGAUAUUGAAUAGAAUGAACUAUUUUUCUUUCCAUUGAAAUUUUGAAAAUGAACAUUGAAAUAUCCUUCAAAAACAAGUAAAUAGAUCCGAAACAUAUAAAAUGCGGUUAAUCCUGCUGUUGAACAAGCUAUUAUUGCAAAAAUUGGUGAGUAUAACCAACUAUCAUUAAGAAUCUCAUCCUUGGACCAAAAACAGGCGAAAGGCGGAAUACCACAAAGAGAAAGCGUACCUAUUAAAAAGGCAGUUUUUGUAAUUGGCACAUGUUUUGUUAAACCACCCAUAAGAAGCAUAUUUUGACUUUUAUUUGGAGAAUACCCAACAACAGCUUCCAUUGAAUGAAUAAUGGAUCCGGACCGUAAAAACAACAAUGCUUUUGAAUAAGCAUGAGUAAUCAAAUGAAAUAACGCAAUUCGAUAAGAGCUCAUACCUAAAGCUAACAUCAUAUAACCCAAUUGAGACAUGGUAGAAUAGGCCAAAUUUUUCUUAAUAUCUUUUUGAGCAAUUGCUAAAGUGGCCCCUAAUACUACUGUUAUUAUACCUAUGAAAGCUAUUCCGUUCAUUAUAGAAGGUAUGGCUAUGAAAAAGGGAAGAAGUCUAGCUACAAGGAAAAUUCCUGCUGCUACCAUGGUGGCAGCAUGUAUAAGAGCAGAAAUAGGGGUGGGACCUUCCAUAGCAUCUGGUAACCAUACAUGAAGGGGGAAUUGGGCAGAUUUUGCAACCGAGCCACAAAAUAACAAGAGGGCACACAAAGUAAUAAAAAAAAUAUUAACCUCAUUUUGAUCAAUCAAGUUGUUGAUUAUUUGGAAUAAAUCCCGAAAUUCCAAACUACCUGUUAUCCAAUAAAGACCCAAAAUUCCUAAUAAUAAACCAAAAUCGCCUACACGAUUAGUUACAAACGCUUUUUGACAAGCAUUUGCCGCAAUACGACGUGUGAACCAAAAACCUAUUAAUAGAUAAGAACACAUUCCAACCAAUUCCCAAAAAAUGUAAACUUGUAUCAAAUUCGAACUAGUAACCAAUCCUAACAUUGAAGUACUUAAAAAACUCAAAUAAGCAAAAAAUCUCAAAUACCGUUGAUCAUGAGACAUAUAAUUAUCACUAUAAAUAAGAACCAGAAUGCCAACAGUAGUAAUUAAUAUUGACAUAAUAGAGGUAAGUGAAUCGAUCAAGUAACCAAACUCUAAAGAAAGAUCGGUAUUUGGACUGGGCGAGCUCCUAGAGGGGCGACGCCCAGGGUUCAGCCCGCCCAAGGGCGAAAGCCUGGCCUUAAGUUGGGCCUCAACUUCAGAGGCCCAAUGGUGUAACACCCCGAUUUCGGUGGCGUCACUUUAGUAACCAAAAAUAAACUUAAAGCGGAAAAACGUGAAUAUUUUUUUUUCGAUAAUAAUAUAGACAAGACUGAAUUAAAUAAAACCCAACAGUAACGAUAAACCGAACUAAUGUACAAUAUAUAUAACAGCCCCCGCUGUAGUAGCAACCUCGUCACGAGUAACCUCCAGUGACGGAAAGGAGAAAAGUGUAGCGCCCGUAGGCAAUAUAUACAAACCAAAUAUAAAGGUGAAGUGUCCGCAACACCAUCCCUCAAAACUGAGAAUAAGCUGGCCCAUCGGCCUGAAAACAAGACCUCCUAAGUCCAAGCAACUCUCUGUGAUUCCCGUAAAGAAACCACACAAAAAGCUAUAGGUGGGAAACUACCCUUUCCCAAAUGAAGCAAUGACUUUCAGAGCUAAGACUCUACUCCUACACUAAUCCUAACUCGAGGAGCUCACACUAACACUCAAAAACUAUGUGUCAGCAUGAUCGUCGUCUGAAUCAGAAUCCAGAACGACUAAGUCUACAAACACUACCCUGCCUCCCCUCACAACCGCAAUGCGCUCCGGUGCUGGACUAACGGGCUUUGGGCCCGAACCCUGAUCAUCAAUGAUCGCAACAGCAGGGGUGCUGGACUCUGAUGAAUGCACUCCCACAGGCUCCUCCUCGGAGGGGUCCUCCUCAUCCGAAGACGAAGGUGGCGGUGGUGCUCCUCCUGCUCCGGGUCCGCAGUGCACUCCUGGCGGCAGGUUGAAACUGACAGAGCAUCUCCUCAUCACUCAUGACGUCAAGUGUCCCAGCGUAUCGAAGUGAUCCUCCAUGAUCUUCCCCGAGUACGUCGCGCGAUGGCUAGCGGGGUCUACCACCCACGCGCCAGGGACAUCCCGGUCUAUCAUCUCAUAGUCGAUCCCCCCCGAAGGGUGGACCAUCGUGAACCACUCCGCCAAAGACAUCUGACAAAGGCGUAGUCCGCCAAAACACACACAGAAGACGCGAGGGUCAACUCCAAAGAACUAUGUAAAUAAUAAACCCAAUAGGUACAGAUAAUAGAAUAGCCGCUUAGGCUUAUAGCUAAAGAUAUCAUUCCUAGGGUUGCAUAUUCCACAAUGAAUACAAACACAAUAAUAACAGAUAGCAUGUUCCAAAUAGGAUUAACAAUUACCAACCACACUCAACAACUAAAUUAGUAUGUAUGUUGCAUGAUAUGCAAAUGACGGUUAACCCAGUUAACCAAUGCAUUUCGGAAAGGGAUGGACACCAAACGGAUCAGCCCUAACACCAGCCACGGUGGGACCCUUUCGGCCCGUGUGCCUCUUACUCCAACAACAACGGUAGUCUGAUCAGCCGUAACCCGUAGGUCUGCCAUUUCGGUCUGCUACAAGAGUCGUCUACAAACGCUCUUACACGGCAUUCCGGGUCUUAUGACCAUUUUGGAAACCGACGAGGUCCAGAGUACGUCCUGUGUUAAUACCUCAUUAAUGUUGCAUGAAUGCAGGAUGAUUAGUCAAACAACGUCUCCGAAUCUCACUCGACACGUCGCCACGUGUUUCUAGGCAAAUUAAAGUCUCUAAAAGCUUACCCUAAGGUAAAAGUCGAUUCUGCGACAAAAGACACUUCCUCACAACAACACAUAACUCACGAUGAUCUCCAAAUCAUCCGACUCAUCUCAAUCCGAUGGUCACAACUGCUCAACGAGCACAGAGUAUCACACUCUCGGAAACUAACGGUUUCCCGGACUUAUCCCAGGAUAGCCCAACAACACAGCUGCUCCAACAGCACAAGAGUAUCAACAUACUCAAAACUUCUCAACUUUCUCAACACUUGGAUCCGACGACACUUCUCGUUUUCCAAAACUAAGAUUUGCAUCCUAAGCUUCCUUUCGAGUUUAUUAUCAUUAAUUGACGGUUUGAAGGUUGUUUAAUGUCUUAUGAGUUUUCUUUGCAAAAUAAUAUCAUUUUAGUCUUAUCAUAACAUCUGAUAAGUUCUCGGGAUCUCCUAAUCCCCAACUGACUCCAGAGAAUGUCUCGAUCCAUAAAACACCAUAACAAGGCCCGAAUCUCAUUCGUCCUAUCAAACUUUCUCAAAACUCUCAAAAUAAAAUCGGCAUGACCUGCCCGCUAUUCUCACAACUCAGAAUCUCAGAUUUCAUUGCAAAGCAUAUUUAAAUCAGCACAAUCAACAAGCAUGUCAUAUCUCAACACAUUCUAAAAAUAAUCACAUCGCACUUAGCAUAUAAAGCAUGCACCACACAUCCUAAAUUACCCAAUUAGCAAUUAGGAUGUAAUUCACUCUCAAAAGCAUUCAGUAGAUGAAUCAUCUACAUUGUCAGUCGAAGCCUCAGAAAACAUUUUUCCAAUCAAACACAAACAAGUGCAUAAACAGUAAACAAUGUCGAAAGCAUCGACCCUAAGCAUUAUCUAGAGAUUCAGUGAGAAGCCCUCACCUGUAGGUUCUCCAGAGUGAUCUUCUAACGCUUCCUCGCAAUCAAAGCCUUGCUCCUCUGGAUAUUCCUCAAAAGCACCUUUUAAAGUAAAACCAUAGAAUACUAUCAGAAUCUAUCUGAAACUAUGCUAUCGAUACUUACUAAGGUUACACGAAGUAGUAUAUACUCCGAGGUACGAUAAUCUAGCGCGAAAGGACAAGUUUUCGGAAAAAGGAAAUUUUCCUCCUCCCCCCCUAAAGUGCUCGGCCACUUUUGGUAAUUGUGGGACUCGAUUUUUCUUCGAUCAAACUUGGUUCCUAUGCUAUCAUAAGCCGUAACUAAGGGUAUUCUAAACUCGGAAAAAUUAUCGGAUCAAAAACUGUCGCAGGGGUAUUUUGGUCAUGAUUUUUAACUUAGAAUUUCAAAACUGAAAUCCCAAAAAGCAAAUUUGACAGGGGCGUCACCAACGACGUUUAUGACAACUAAUCCUACUAGCACUAAGCUAAGGCGAUAGUUUUCAGUCCAAAGGACGAAGCUUUACCCCAAAAAUGGGUAUUUUCACCAAAAUUGAAACUCGGCGAUAGUUUUUCGAGAUUCGGCGCUGUAUGAUUAGAUAAACAUACUCAGAAAAAUGUAGGGAAGAUGUUUAGAAUCAAAAAUGAGAUUAUCAGGAUAGUUUUGCAAAAACCUCAAAACUAUGAGCACAAAAAGACAUAGGAAAAAGCUAUGGAAAAAGCGAUCAGAGGUAAGAAUUAGCGACUAUACCUCGACACCUUGAAGCAGCAACUAAUUAAUCGAUGAUCAAGCAAGAAAUGAAGAAAAGCUCUUCUUCCUUCCUCUUCAAUGGAGCUCGCGGGUUUGGGAGAGAAAAUGGUGAAGUUUUGCCAUUUUUUCUCCUUUACUUGCUAUAUAUAGAAGUUGACAAAACGCGGUAAAAUGAAAGUUUCGCAAAUCUGAUUUUUCCGGCUUCAUUCACCAUGAAUUCUAAGAUAGGUUUUGGCGAAAGAAUUCCAAAACUAAAAUGAGGUCUCCUUGUAUUUUAAGUAACUAAUGCAAAGUCGGUGUAAAACUAUUUUACCCGAUAAGUUGCUUUUUGCAUCGAAUGUCGGAAUGGAAAACUUCCUUCUGAAGAAAGAUUGAAAUCAUCAAGAGAAAUGGGUGUACGCGUGUGGAAUCUUCAUUUGAAGCUCUGAAUAGAAAAAGUCUUCAUCGUCGGGUGAAUUUAGGGUUUUGAAAUACCAGGGUUUCGGUUUCGGCAAACUUCCGAUGAUUGGAAUCGGACGUUCGUAGAUCCUAGAGUUCCGCCACGAAACGAUUGUGAUAUAUGGAAAAAGAGAAGUUCUAACAUUUCUCUGAAGAUUUUUGGAAUUAACUUCCAUCGUGACUUUAAGUGAAAACUAGCUAUAUACUAGGGUUUCUGACCUAGGUUUAAGCGUAUAACGGUCGUGCUAUAACUUUUAUCGACUUCGUUACGAUCCUCAGACUUUUCCUGAACUUUCUCCUUCAUACAUUUAUUUCAUUAAAUAAACUCUUGUUCAGGUUUUCCCUUCACGAUACAUCAACCCUAAUCGUGAAUAAGAAUUUUAUUCACUUAGAUAAAACUAAAAACUUGGGUCUUACAAAUGGGACCAAUAGGUGUAAGAUCAAGUUUUGAUCUAGUAGUACAACUCUAUGUUUUGAUGAUUACAAGCUAACCCUUUGAUAUGAACAAUUAUGGUACUCUAACGUGUUUUUCUGAGUGUGCUAUUUACAGGCUCUGACCUUGAUUUAGUCUCACACAAAUCAGAAGCACUGUGCAUAAGGAGUGACCCAAGCAACGCUUUCGCAUUCUCCAUGUUCAUUCUGAACAGUGGAAAAGCUUCAGAAGAUCUGAAGUAAAUAAAGCUCUGAUAAGGACUCAGCUCACUUAAAGCUCUGAUGGUCUAGAAGAUCUGACAACCAAAAGACUCUGAAGGCUCAGAAGCUCUGAUGGUGUAGAAGACUCUGACGAUCCAGACUCUGAAGAGUGAAGACUCAGAAGUCCAGAAGCAACUGGCUCUGAAGACGAUGUACUGAUCCUCUGAAGUGAAGAUCAGAAGGUACAACGGUCAGAGGAUCCAAGCUUCCCUCUGACUCUGAUCAAUCAGCUUCACAAGUUCCUAUACGAAGCGCUCCCCUGAUCAGAAGUCUACAAGGUUAAGGUCAAGUCACUAUCCAAAGUACAAAAGCAAAGUGUACUAUCCUGACGACCUACCUAACAUCCUCAGCCACAGCAGAAGCUGGAAUUUCCAAAACUGCCCUCCAACGGUAGCAUUUCCAUGCAACGUUCAACCCUAAUCCUUGGAGUAUAAAUAGAGGCUGAAGAGUGAAAGAAGCGGCUAGAAGCAUUCACACACGCGGAAGAAAUAUUCAAAUCCUUCUAAGCUUUCUUUCAUCCUGAAUUUCAUUGUGUUUACUAUAAGCUUUUUAGAAGCACUUUCUUUGUAAACAAGAACUUCAUAUAUAGUUGUAUAGUUUUCCUUUAGGAGAUCAAGGUUGAUCGGAUCCUAGAGAAGACUAAGAGAGUGAGUCUUAGUGUGAGCUAAGUCAGUGUAUUGUUAGUCACUUGUAGGUUUCAAGUGCAGUUGUAACACAUACCUGAUUAGUGGAUUGCCUUCAGUCUAAGAAGGAAGAAAUCACCUUAACGGGUGGACUGUAGUAGCUUGAGUGAUUUAUCAAGUGAACCAGGAUAAAAUCCUUGUGUGCUUUUCUAUCUCUCAUCUUUAGCACUUAGUUCUCGAAAAGAUUUGUUAAAAUCUUUAAGGUGGUAGUUUUGUACUGAAAACGUUAUUCAAACCCCCCCUUUCUACCGUUUUUCAUACCUUCAAUUGGUAUCAGAGCGCAAGUUCUGAUUACCACACCUAACAGUGUUCAGUGAUCCGGGCCGGUGUGAAAAACAAUGGCUACCACUAGUGAAACACAGAAAGAUGGAUACAACGCAAAGCCUCCUAUGUUCGACGGUCAAAGGUUCGAGUAUUGGAAAGAUAGACUCGAAAGUUUCUUUUCUGGGUUUUGAUGCAGAUCUCUGGGAUAUUAUUGUGGAUGGCUAUGAGCGUCCAGUUGAUGAAGAAGGCAAGAAGAUCCCAAGGUCAGAGAUGACUGCAGAUCAAAAGAAGCUGUACUCACAACAUCACAAAGCAAGAGCAAUUCUUCUAAGUGCUAUUUCUUAUGAAGAGUACUAGAAGAUUACAGAUCGUGAGUAUGCAAAAGGCAUUUUGAAUCUCUGAAGAUGUCUCAUGAAGGAAACAAGAAAGUUAAAGAAUCAAAGGCAUUGUCUUUGAUCCAAAAGUAUGAAUCCUUCAUCAUGGAGCCAAAUGAGUCCAUUGAAGAAAUGUUCUCCAGAUUUCAGGUGCUUGUAGCUGGAAUACGACCUCUCAACAAGAGCUACACAACAAAAGAUCACGUCAUAAGGGUCAUCGGGUCUCUUCCUGAAAGCUGGAUGCCUUUAGUGACAUCAAUAGAGCUCACAAGAGAUGUCGAGCGUAUAAGUUUAGAAGAACUCAUUAGCAUUCUGAAAUGUCAUGAGCUGAAGCGUUCUGAGAUGCAAGAUCUGAGGAAAAAGACUAUAGCCUUGAAAUCCAAAUCUGAAAAGGCUAAGGCUGAGAAGUCAAAGGCUCUCCAAGCUGAAGCUGAAGAAUCUGAAGAAGCAUCAGAAGAUUCUGAUGAAGAUGAGCUGACUCUGAUCUCCAAGAGACUCAACCGCAUCUGGAAGCACAAGCAAAGCAAGUACAGAAGCUCUGAAAAGGCCAAAGGAAAGUCUGAAUCCUCAGGUCAGAAGAAGUCAUCAAUCAAGGAAGUCACAUGUUUUGAGUGCAAAGAAUCAGGGCACUACAAAAGUGAUUGUCCAAGGUUGAAGAAGGACAAGAAGCCAAAGAAGCACUUCAAGACGAAGAAGAGUCUGAUGGUGACAUUUGAUGAAUCAGAGUCAGAGGAUGUUGACUCUGAUGGUGAAGUCCAAGGACUCAUGGCUAUUGUCAAAGACAAAGGAGCAGAGUCGAAAGAAGCUGUUGACUCUGACUCAUAAUCAGAAGGAGAUCCCAACUCAGACGAUGAAAAUGAGGUAUUCGCUUCUUUCUCUACCUCUGAACUGAAACAUGCUUUGUCUGAUAUCAUGGAUAAGUAUAAUUCUUUAUUGUCUAAGCAUAAGAAGUUGAAAAAGAACUUAUCUGCUGUUUCUAAGACUCCUUCUGAACAUGAGAAAAUUAUUUCUGAUUUGAAAAAUGAUAAUCAUGCUUUGAUCAAUUCUAACUAUGUGCUUAAGAACCAGAUUGCUAAGUUAGAAGAAAUAGUUGCUUGUGAUGCCUCUGAUUGUAGAAAUGAAUCUAAGUAUGAAAAGUCUUUUCAAAGAUUCCUGGCUAAGAGCUUAGAUAGAAGCUUAAUGGCUUCAAUGAUCUAUGGCGUAAGCAGAAAUGGAAUGCAUGGCAUUGGCUAUUCUAAACCAAUUAGAAAUGAGCCCUCUGUGUCUAAAGCAAAAUCUUUGUAUGAAUGCUUUGUUCCCUCUGGUACCAUAUUUCCUGAUCCUUUACCUGCUAAAGUUGCUAAAACCCCUCUUAAAAAGGGAUCUUUCUCCAUGUCUAAAUAUCAUGCAAAAAUUCCUUUACACUAUCAUGUUGAGAAACCCAAGGUGAUCAGAACCUCUGGGGUAACUAACAAGAAAUGACCCAAAAAGUGGGUACCUAAGGACAAGAUUAUCUAUGUUGCAGAUAUCCUUGAUAGCUCCACUGAAACACCAGUCAUGGUAUCUGGACAGUGGAUGCUCGCGUCACAUGACGGGAGAAAGGCGUAUGUUCCAAGAGCUAAAACUUAAGCCUGGAGGCGAAGUUGGCUUUGGAGGAAAUGAAAGGGUAAAAUUGUUGGUACUGGUACUAUUUCUGUAGAUAGUAGUCCAUGCAUUGACAAUGUGUUAUUGGUAGACGGCUUAACUCAUAACUUAUUGUCUAUAAGUCAAUUAGCUGACAAGGGUUAUGAUGUUAUUUUCAAUCAAAAGUCUUGCAGGGCUGUAAGUCAGAUCGAUGGCUCUGUUCUGUUUAACAGCAAGAGGAAGAACAACAUUUAUAAGAUCAGAUUAUCUGAGUUGGAGGCUCAGAAUGUGAAGUGCCUUCUUUCUAUUAAUGAAGAGCAGUGGGUAUGGCAUAGACGGUUAGGGCAUGCCAGUAUGAGAAAGAUUUCUCAGCUGAGCAAGCUAAACCUUGUCAGGGGCUUACCCAAUCUGAAGUUCGCUUCAGACGCUCUUUGUGAAGCAUGUCAGAAAGGCAAAUUCACUAAAGUCCCUUUCAAGGCAAAGAAUGUUGUCUCAACCUCAAGGCCGUUGGAACUUCUGCAUAUCGACCUGUUUGGACCAGUGAAAACUGAGUCUAUAGGUGGCAAGAGAUAUGGGAUGGUCAUCGUUGACGACUAUAGCCGCUGGACAUGGGUAAAGUUUCUAACCCGCAAGGAUGAGUCUCAUGCUGUGUUCUCUACCUUCAUUGCCCAAGUGCAAAACGAGAAGGCUUGUAGGAUUGUGCGUGUCAGAAGUGACCAUGGUGGAGAGUUUGAGAAUGACAAGUUUGAGAGUCUGUUUGAUUCCUAUGGAAUUGCACAUGGUUUCUCUUGUCCCAGAACUCCUCAACAAAAUGGUGUUGUUGAGAGGAAGAACAGAACUCUCCAGGAGAUGGCUAGAACCAUGCUCCAAGAAACUGGCAUGGCUAAGCACUUUUGGGCAGAGACAGUAAAUACAGCAUGUUACAUUCAGAACAGAAUCUCUGUGAGACCAAUUCUGAAUAAGACUCCCUAUGAAUUGUGGAAGAACAUAAAACCCAACAUUUCUUAUUUUCAUCCUUUUGGUUGUGUUUGUUAUGUUCUUAAUACUAAGGAUAGAUUGCAUAAAUUUGAUGCUAAGUCUUCUAAAUGUCUAUUACUUGGUUACUCUGAUAGAUCUAAAGGUUUUAGAUUUUACAAUACUGAUGCAAAGACUAUUGAAGAGUCUAUUCAUGUUAGAUUUGACGAUAAGCUUGACUCUGACCAGUUAAAGCUAGUUGAGAAAUUUGCAGAUUUAAGUAUAAAUGUUUCUGACAAAGGCAAAGCUCUAGAGGAAGCUGAGCCAGAGGAAGAUGAACCAGAAGAAGAAGCCGGUCCCUCUGAUUCACAAACUCUGAAGAAGAGCAGAAUCACUGCAGCUCACCCUAAGGAAGUGAUUAUGGGCAACAAAGAUGAACCAGUCAGAACCAGAUCAGCCUUCAGACCCUCUGAAGAGACUCUGCUCAGUCUGAAAGGAUUGGUGUCCUUAAUUGAACCCAAGUCCAUAGAUGAAGCUCUUCAGGACAAGGAUUGGAUUCUGGCCAUGGAAGAAGAAUUGAAUCAAUUCUCCAAGAACGAUGUUUGGAGCUUAGUGAAGAAGCCUGAGAGUGUCCAUGUAAUUGGAACGAAAUGGGUGUUCAGAAACAAAUUGAAUGAGAAAGGAGAUGUAGUCAGAAACAAGGCAAGGCUAGUUGCUCAAGGCUACAGCCAGCAGGAAGGAAUAGACUACACAGAAACAUUUGCUCCAGUAGCAAGACUAGAAGCAAUCAGACUGUUGAUCUCCUUCUCAGUGAAUCACAACAUAGUUCUUCAUCAGAUGGAUGUGAAGAGUGCUUUCCUAAAUGGUUAUAUUUCAGAGGAAGUAUAUGUUCAUCAACCCCCAGGUUUUGAAGAUGAGAAAAAACCAGACCAUGUGUUCAAAUUGAAGAAAUCACUCUAUGGUCUGAAGCAAGCUCCCAGAGCAUGGUAUGAGAGACUCAGCUCAUUCCUUCUGGAGAAUGAGUUUGUAAGAGGUAAAGUAGAUACAACUCUCUUUUGCAAAACUUAUAAAGAUGAUAUCUUAAUUGUGCAAAUCUAUGUUGAUGAUAUAAUAUUUGGCUCUGCUAAUCAAUCUCUAUGCAAAGAAUUUUCUGAGAUGAUGCAGGCUGAAUUUGAGAUGAGUAUGAUGGGAGACCUAAAGUACUUUCUGGGAAUACAAGUUAAUCAAACACCAGAAGGAACAUAUAUCCAUCAGAGCAAGUACACUAAAGAACUUCUGAAAAAGUUCAACAUGCUGGAAUCUACAGUGGCCAAGACUCCAAUGCAUCCUACAUGCAUUCUGGAGAAAGAAGAUGCAAGUGGUAAAGUUUGUCAGAAGCUUUAUGGUGGUAUGAUAGGAUCUCUUCUAUAUUUAACUGCAUCUAGGCCAGAUAUAUUAUUUAGUGUUCACUUAUGUGCUCACUUCCAAUCAGAUCCAAGGGAAACCCACUUAACUGCUGUUAAGAGGAUCCUAAGGUAUGUGAAAGGCACCACUAACCUUGGCUUGAUGUAUAAGAAAACAUCAGAGUAUAAGCUUUCAGGUUAUUGUGAUGCUGAUUACGCUGGAGAUAGAACAGAGAGAAAAAGUACUUCUGGAAAUUGUCAAUUUCUGGGAAGUAAUCUAGUCUCAUGGGCAAGCAAGAGGCAAUCAACCAUUGCACUAUCCACUGCAGAGGCAUAAUAUAUCUCAGCAGCAAUAUGCAGCACUCAGAUGCUCUGGAUGAAACAUCCGCUGGAGGAUUAUCAGAUCCUUGAGAGCAAUAUCCCAAUCUAUUGUGAUAACACUUCUGCAAUAUCAUUGAGUAAGAAUCCUAUCUUACAUUCAAGAGCAAAGCACAUUGAGGUAAAGUAUCACUUUAUUAGAGAUUAUGUACAGAAGGGCGUACUUCUUCUGAAGUUUGUUGAUACUGACCAUCAAUGGGCAGAUAUCUUUACAAAGCCCUUAGCAGAGGAUAGAUUUAAUUUUAUUCUGAAAAAUCUGAAUAUGGACUUUUGUCCAUAGUGAAGAUGGAUCAGAACCUCUGACCAUGAUACUUCUUGAUCAGAAGAUGUCUAGUCCAGAAGGUAACUCCGUCAGAGUGUACGUACCCAUUGGUACUGACUCUGAAGCUGAGACAGUAACACGUGUGUCAGUAUCUCUGAUGCAUAGUUCCUUGUGCCCGUGUGACAGUCUGUCAUAACGUGUGUAGAUGUGCUUCUCUCCUGUGUGUGAUAUGUGUAUUUACUGUUACUAUGAUGUCUUUAAUUUUUAACCGUUGAUUUUAAUUUGCUUUUUGAAUCAACAACGGUUAUUUGUCAAAACCCACUGUAACAUCCUGAUCUGACGACUGGCCUCACGGUAACAGCACGAGUCUUUUCAGCGCACUUUGUCCUCACUCGCAUGCUUCCCGGGAAAACUUCCCAGGAGGUCACCCAUCAUAAUAUUGCUCCAAGGCUAGCACACUUAACCAUGGAGUUCUUACGAGUUGGGCUCCCGAAAAGAAGUUGCAACUUGUUGUUAUGAGUAGUACCAAUCAAAUCGUUUAUGCCCUCCUCAACUGUAUAGUCCAUCCCUAUACAGUCUCGGAAUACCUCUUGUUCGGGUGUGAGAUCAGUUCAUUCAUGUGCCCCUCCGCCUAGAAGCCUGCCAGGAGCCGCUCCUUGUCCGUGCCUCACUGCACCGGCGAUCACUCCCCGCCCUCGUCUGCCCCGGGUGUCACAGGCCCACCAGCUUCCGCUUGGUUCGUCCUCGAACCACACCGUACUGGGAGAGGUUGGCUUUGAUACCACUUGUAACAUCCUGAUCUGACGACUGGCCUCACGGUAACAACACGAGUCUUUUCAGCGCACUUUGUCCUCACUCGCACGCUUCCCGGGAAAACUUCCCAGGAGGUCACCCAUCAUAAUAUUGCUCCAAGGCUAGCACACUUAACCAUGGAGUUCUUAUGAGUUGGGCUCCCGAAAAGAAGUUGCAACUUGUUGUUAUGAGUAGUACCAAUCAAAUCGUUUAUGCCCUCCUCAACUGUAUAGUCCAUCCCUAUACAUUCUCGGAAUACCUCUUGUUCGGGUGUGAGAUCAGUUCAUUCAUGUGCCCCUCCGCCUAGAAGCCUGCCAGGAGCCGCUCCUUGUCUGUGCCUCACUGCACCGGCGAUCACUCCCCGCCCUCGUCGGCCCCGGGUGUCACACCCACUAUACACACACGAUCUCCUACACUCUCGAUUUUACUCUCUCUCUCUUGUUCUCCUGUUCUCCUACUUGAAGGAAUGUAUCAAGAAGUCCAGAACUACUGCCUCCAUCAAGUCAACAAUCAAAUAUAUCCCUUUUGGGAGAUUGCUUUCAGAUCUCUUUAUUGAGAGCAACCUUGUGCAAGAUCUGGUCAAUGCUGGAUGCAUAGAGGAUCUGACCACUAUUGUCAGUGAUGUCUUCACUGCCAAUUCUCUGAAGAAGAUGGGUUUGAUCCAGAAGAAAAUUGCCCCAGCUCAUGAAGAUACAUCUGCUGAAAUCAGACAGAGAAGGGUGCCUCUGAACGACUUCCCUCUGUGGACGCAGGCAGAUAACCCUGAAGCUAUUAGGUGCUAUGUUGAAGACCUAAGGGCUCAAGGCUUUGAAAUUGAUCUAGAUGAAUUCUUCAGAAGACUGCCGCCAGCUCUAGAGUUUGACUCUCCUCCCAAGAGGAAAGUUCAGAGGAAGAUGGUCCUAGAAGAAUCCUCUGAGGAAGCUGAUGUCCCUCUGACAAAGAGGAAGAAGACUGACCAGCCAAAGAGGAAACAUGAUGAAACCACCAAGCCAGAUGGUGGUGGUGAUGGUGAUAAUGAUGGUGGUCCUUCUCCUCCCAAGAAGAAGAAGAAACAAGUCAGACUUGUGGUGAAGCCUACAAGGGUGGAACCAGCUGCUCAAGUGGUCAGACGGAUUGAAACUCCUUCCAGAGUGACUCGGUCAUCAGUGCGAUCAUCAAGUAAGUCUGUUGUUGAUUCUGAUGAUGACUUAAAUACAUUUGAUGCACUCCCCAUCUCUGCUAUGCUCAAACGAUCCUCAAACCCACUCACUCCUAUUCUUGAGUCCCAACCAUCUGCACAAGCCACUUCUCCACCACACUCACCAAGGUCUUCAUUUUUCCAACCCUCUCCCAAUGAAGCACCUCUUUGGAAUAUGCUUCAGAACCAACCUACCGAACCUUCUGAUCCAAUCUCUCCUAUCACCAUUCCAUACAAUCCAGAAUCUGAUCCCAUUAUUCUUGAACCUGAACAUACAAUUCCUGUCCAACCAGAACCUGAACCCAGAACCACUGAUACAGAUUCCUCAACUGCCUAUACUCCUGUAUCAUUCCCCAUCAAUGUUGCUGAUUCCUCACCUUCCAACAACUCUGAAUCCAUUCGUAAAUUUAUGGAAGUUAAGAGAGAAAAAGUGUCUGCUAUUCCUGAGUAUUACCUCACAUGUCCAAGCCCUAGGAGAUAUCAUGGACCUAGACCUGAACGUCUAGUCGACCCAGAUGAACCUAUCCUGGCUGACCCUUUACAUGAGGCAGAUCCUUUAGCUCAACAAGCUCAACCUGACCCUAUCCAUCAAGAGCCAUUUCAACCAGAACCAGACCACUCUGUGUCUAACCACUCCUCGGUUAGAUCACCACAUCCUCUGGUUGAAACCUCUGAACCUCACCUUGGAACCUAUGAACCAAAUGCUCACAUGUUCAACAUUGGUUCUCCUCAAGGUGUCUCUGAGGCAAACAGCAGCAACCACCCAACCUCUCCUGAAACCAACCUAUCCAUUGUUCCCUACACUCACCUAAGACCAACCUCUAUCUCUGAGUGCAUCAGUGUUUUUAAUCAUAAAGCGUCACUGAUGAUUCGCAACGUCAAAGGUCAUACUGAUCUGAGUGAGGAUCCUGACUCUGUUGAUGAGGAAUGGAAUAAUCUGAGUACUUGGUUAGUUGCUCAGGUUCCUGCUAUGAUGAGUCAUCUUAUUGCUGAAAGGGAUCAGAGGAUAGUAGCUGCCAAGCAGAGGUUUGCAAGAAGAGUAGCUCUUCAUGAACAACAACAAAGACACAAGCUCCUUGAAGUUAUUGAAGAGACCAGAAGAAAGCAAGAGCAAGCAGAAGACGCUGCACGUCAAGCAGCAGCUCAAGCUGAACAAGAAAGAUUAGAGGCAGAAAGACUUGAAGCUGAAGCUGAAGCCCUUAGAUGCCAAGCACUUGCACCAGUAGUGUUUACUCUUGCUGCUUCUGCUUCCAUUCCAGCUCAUCAAGCUGCUCAGAAUGUUCCUUCCAGCUCCACACAGUCAAGCUCGUCCAGACUCGACCUCAUGGAACAGCGUCUUGACACUCAUGAGUCUAUGCUAAUUGAAAUGAAGCACAUGAUGAUGGAACUUCUGCUUCGAUCUGAUAAACCCUAGUUUUAGGAUCUCUUCGCUCUUCCUUUUUUAACUUUGUUCUAUUUGGUUAACUUCUGUAUCUUUUUUCUUUAGUAAUUCUGCUUUGUUCUUUUGUGAUUAUCUAUGCAUAUAUAUAUAUAUAUAUAUAUAUAUAUAUAUAUAUAUAUUUGUCACAUUGUGUUUGCAAAAAAUUUUCUUUAUUCAUAAUCAUUAUGUUUACAUCAUACAUUUUCUUUUCCUAAAGUCUAGAAUGGAGGAUCCUUCCUCAUUCUUCUGCACUCUUGGCGCUGCUCUGACCUCUCCCUCUCCAGACGAUCCAGUGAAUACUGGAUGUUGUUGAGAUUGACGAUCAGCUCACUCCUCUCCAGAACCUCUUCUGUUGUCUUGAGCUUUCUUUCUAUCGUGUCCUUCUCUUCCAGUAGCCUCAGCUCAAGCUGGCUGAGUUCUUGAACUUCUUCCACGAAGGCAAGAAAUUCCUUCAAGUCGUUCUUUAGCUCUGGACGAAGGUCCUCCUCAAGCAGUGUCCUCGUCAGUUCUGAUAUGGUCGUUGUACCCUCUGGAUGCCUUAUGUUCAGGAACAAGUCCACCUCAAAGGCCUUCCUUCUGAGCUCUUCAAGUGCUUCCCUGUAUGAUGCCAUUUUUUUAAAUUGUUCGAGUUGUGAAGCUUACCCUUUUUCUCCAUCGCUUUAUAUAGGCUUCACUUUCUCUCUGAAAGUUAAUGCUUCUACAGUUUCUCGAGGUUAAGUUCUUGGUAACUGACUCUUGUAACACCCCGAUUUCCAGGUGUCACUUUAGUAACCAAAAAUAAAAUUUACGCGGAAAACAGGUAAUUUUUUUCCAAUUGAUUCCUUUAAAUCAAAGCGAUAGAAAAAUAAAGACAUAACCCAACACUAACUAACCAACAUACACAUAUAUACACAUGUACAGCCUCAGCUGCACUCCCAAGUCACCCGCACUCGCAGUGACUCCAAAGUAGUGUGCCCGCAGGCAAAUAUAACAAACCAGCACUGUAAGUGAAAGUAUCAAAUAUACAGUCAUCCAAUGAGAAAGUCGGCCUCAAAAUGGCCUAAGCAAAACCCCUACAGUCCGACUAACACACUGUGAUCCAUCAAUAAGAGAACCACACGAAAAGCCAUGCGUCGAAAACCUACCCUGUCCCCAAAAAGCAAACGAAUCAGAGCUCUACACAAAAUAUGACGCCUGCCUAAACCUACCCUCCCAGUACCGCUCAAGCUCCUCCUCCUCAUCCUCGUUGCUCGGCGAGUAACUGUCAACUUCGGUGUCGGAGUCAGAGUCCAAGUCCACAGCGAUCUGAAGUCGGCAAGUUGAAGCUCAGCUCCAUGCGUCGUAGAACUCCUUUCGUCAGACGUCCACGCUCGUCAACCCGGUCCUCCAUGACCCUUCCCCGGUACGUCGCUCGAUGACCCACAAGAUAGAUCACCCAAACGGUGGGGCAUGUCAGUCAACGAGCUCAAACCCGAUCCCCCCGAGGGAGAGACCAUCGAAACCCAAUCCACCGUCGACGUCUGGCAGCAGGCCGACCGCCCAAACAAAAACAUGAAACCAAAGCCAAGGCGCUAGGGUCAACUCACGGAAAUAAGUAGAUAUACACUCAACAUGUGAUAUGGGGUAUAGAUAUAUAUGUUGGCUCUAACAAGGCUUCAAUAAAUCAAACAGCACACGAUUCCAGUCAUAAUGAAUGUAUGCGUGAAAUGCACAAUAUGAUCCGGAUUGUGACGCGUUCCCGUUCGCCACAAGUGAAGCAUUCCCGUUCUUCACUAUGGAUGAACCAUUCCCGUUAUUCAUCCUGGAUGAACCAUUCCCGUUAUUCAUCCUCGGUGAACCAUUCCCGUUAUUCACCGUAUGAUGAACCAUUCCCGUUAUUCACCGUAUGAUGAACCAUUCCCGUUAUUCAUCAUAUAUGCAUUGGUGAACCAUUCCCGUUAUUCACCAUGAUAUGCACAGGUGAACUAUUCCCGUUAUUCACCCGAUUGAAUGCAACGUGGUUAGCCAAACAUCGAAUCGUCCUCCCACACAAGUGUUUAGCUCAAACCCAAACUCAAAACAACCCAUGAGUUAGUGUCGGUCAAUACAACACAACUCGGAGUAAGUGUCGGUCAAUACAACACCACUCCACCCACAAGAGUACACAAGGGUCUAGUGUCGGUCAAUACAACACAGCCCAAACAACAAGAGCACUAAGUGUCAGUCAAUACAACACGGCUCCAACAACAAGAUACCCAGGGGAUUAGUGUCGGUCAAUACAACACAACCCCAACAACAAAACCCAAAAUCAAAGCCAGAGUCAGUGUCGGUCAAUACAACACGACUCGAACAACACUACCAGGAGUACUAGAGUACUCGGUGACUUUCAAUCAUCACCAUAGCUCACCUUAGUGGCUUUCCCCAAUACCAAAACCCACAACAAAGAUCGACUUUUCCCCGUCUUUCGUAAAUAUUUUCCCCUUCAGUUUUCCUAUGNNNNNNNNNNNNNNNNNNNNNNNNNNNNNNNNNNNNNNNNNNNNNNNNNNNNNNNNNNNNNNNNNNNNNNNNNNNNNNNNNNNNNNNNNNNNNNNNNNNNCUAUCAUGCAAUCAUAGCUAAUAUGUAAAUUGCCCUAACCUCGAGCUGCUCCAGCUUCGAAAUCACAAGUUCCUUCAAACAAAUGCUCUGAGUAUUCCAAAGUUCCUUCAACUGAACCUCGGAGAAAACAAAGCAGAAUCCAAACAAAAUCGAUUAGUUCGAUCAAAAUACAACUCAUAAGCAAUAGACAAAGCAUUAAAGCUUCAGAAUACAACAUUCGGAUGCGAAAAGACAAGUUUUCGAAAAUGAAGACUCCCCCCCCCAACACUACAAACUCUCGACCAAAAGGAGAAAAGGGCUUCGGCUCUUUUUCUAUGAUCAAAUCUGUUUACAAAGUAGUUUUAGGGUAAAACUAAGGCAAAGAAACUGUCGGAACAAUUUUCGGACAAUCGGGUCGAAAUACGGCUAUCCAGGGGCAUUUUGGUCCAAAAUAAAGGCUCAAAACCUCAAAGUUAUCAGUUCGGAAAACAAAUUUGACAGCAAUGAUCCUAACGACAUCCGUGACAACAAAUCCUAAAGGCACGAAGUCAGAUUAUGACUUUUCGACAGUAAAGUUUCGAAAUGUGCGACAAAAGAGUUUUGAAUCAGUUUUUCAGAUCCUGGACAACUGGAUCCAUAACGGCGAUUACUGACAAAGGUUUUAGGCUCUUGGGAACCUAGGGAACAAACCCCAACCAAGAAAUCAAGGAAAUCGGACAAUUUUACAAAAAGCUCAAAACUUAGAGCAUAGAAACGACUUCAGAAACGCAACAGAAACAGCAAUCAGAGGUAGGAUUCAUGCUAGUUACCUCAAUACCUAGAAGUAGGGACGAACUGCAUGAAGAUCAGUCAAGUUUUCGCGAAAAACUUUCUCCCCCAAGCUCCCCUCAAACUCGCGGCCUUGAUGGUGUGGAAUGGAGAGAUUUUUGCUUUUUCGCCUAUUUAUAGGCGGGCGAAAUCGCGGGAAAAUGAAAAUUUCGCGAUUCCGAUUUUUGCAGCACGUUCACCGAUGAAUUCUAAGAGAGAUUCUGGCGUCAGAAUUCCAGAACUCAAAACAAACCUCAGACAUUUGGGAAAAACGAAAUCUAAAAUCCCAAAAGCGGUGUAAGGUAAUCUGUCCCGAAAAACUACUUUUUGCUGUAAUGGUCAGACGACAAAACUUUAUACUGGGGAAAGAUUGGAAAUGUCGAAACAAAUCCGGCAACGCGGACGGAAACUUCGUUAGAAGUCCCGAAUAGAAAAAGUCUUCAUCCAUCGCUUGAAACUAGGGUUUCGAAGCAAAGAAAUUAGCGUCGGCGGACUUCCGACAGGUGAAUACUAUCAUGCGUACAGUCCAGAGUUCCGAAAUGAAACGCUGGUCGAAGGAAAAAUAAAUAGAACCUUUAAAUUUUCCAAGAAUUCGACAUAUCGCCUAAACAUUGCUUUAAAAGCGAAAUUAGCCUAUUCUCGACACGCUCGCCAUAAGGCAGAUGUGCAGACGACUCGCACUAAUUCCUACGGCGACUACGCAACAUUCCUCAAGCAAUUCCUGAACUUUCUUCUUCAUUAAUAUUUCUCAAACAUCAAACUCCUGUCACGCUUACACUGAUCCUACGCGUGAGUCGGAAAUUAACUUGUUCUUCAAAUCCAGAUCUUACAAUACUCCCCUCCAAAAAGAAAGUUUCGUCCUCGAAACUCAGAGUUUUGCGAAAAGUCCGGGAUACAGUUCCUUGAUCUUAUCUUCCAAUUCCCAUGUGGUAUUGCCCGUCUCAUUGUUCCCCAUAACCUUUACUUAAGCAAGCUGUUUUCCGCUUAACUGUUUCACUCUUCUAUCCCCACUGCUAACUGUCGGCGUCUCCAAAGACAAACCAUCAUUCAACUUCAUGUCGUCUGGCUCGAUCACUUGCGUCAGAUCUCUGCUUGAAAUGAUACCGGUUGGCACUCCGUGCAGUCGCACAACCUUAGCCACUUACUUCUUUACUUUCGGUCGUCCGAAAUUCUUCUUAAACUCGGUGCCUCUUUGUCAUUUCAAAGUAAAUACUCAACUUGUCCUCGUGAUCUUCAUCUACAGUCCAAAACUCCACUUGUCCGUUCGAUAACUCCUAGACGAAACAUCCCCUUGGAAACCGCUAGUCCAUUAACAUACCUCCAACUUCGUAACUAUCUUUACAAACACCCAGAAAUCAGACUUCUACUUAGUCACUACUCGAAUUAAACCUCGACUUAUGUCCUUAUUCCUUGUCCUUCACUAAUCUUAUCCCCUUCAACACCAAUCUAUCAACAACUUAUAAGAUAAUCCUUCUCUCAGUCCAAUAAUUAGUCUCUCGAUCAGAACCUGACAAGACUUCAUGUCUCACACGUUUAGGAUAAAAUCAAUUGGCUUAAAAUCUAAACCUUCACUAAGUGUGGACCACCAAAAUCCUUUAACUCUCCAACACUUCUUAAGUGAAUAUUCAUUUCUUAAAACGACAACUACUUCCCAAAGAAAAUCAAUUACUUAACACGAACUUCCCUCCUAAACCCGAGACUAAUCCUCGAUCGAUUCAAAUUCAUCUUACACAUCCUUCUAUCAAAGUCCAUAACCAGCUGUGAUUCCGAAUAUCACCCUCUCAAUAUUAGGUUGAUCAGGCCUAAUACAUCGAAGGUAGAAAUUUAGAAAAACCCACUGGAACAGUCAAUGAGUUCCUAUCCUCCAGUAGUCACAAAUAUCCUGACACUAAAUCCUUUAAUGAUCCCGCUAUGGAACUACACACCCUCAAUAUAACACGUAUACUACCCAUACGGAAUCUCCCUAAGAUUCGUUCUUCAGCUACUAGCUUCCUCAUAAUCGCAUCAGUGGAAGACUACUUUCUAGACUUAGUGUGCUUUUCCCAACCUCGUGUAACUUCUAUAGUUAAAACACGAGCAACUUCGAAUAAGGUCCUACUAGGGAUAAUAAUCAUAAGAUCAUAGUCUAAGUAGUAAAUACAAGUUAGGCGCGUCAUACCCGUUUCGAAGAUGAAGGAGUAAGUUAUUCUAGAAUAAGAGAACAGUUAAAAUAUUACCAUCGUUCCCACGUUCUUCCUCGUUCGACUCCUCAACUCUUGCUCCUUCCUUGGUAUGAAUCGUUUCCUCUGUAGCAAGUCGUUUUCCUCUCCCAACAUUCCCUGAUGAUUCGCCCUUGGGUGCCUUACAAUCUCUGGAGAAAUGUCCCGGUUGGUUGCAAUUUAAGCAUAGACUUUCUUUGAUCUUGCACCUACUGGCAUAGUGCCCUCUUUCCCCACAGUUGAAGCAUAGAGAUCCCCCGUUUGGACACUUGUUACUGUAGUGCCCCACUUUCCUGUACCUGUACACGUCACUGUUUUUCCCAAAGUCUUGUUUCAUGUCCCUUCGGUAGCAUCAUUCCCUUUCAUCUUACUAUCAGACUUUCCCCCUGGAGUGUCUUGCAGUUCACAACUAGAUGCCCCUCUCGGUUACACUUGAAGCAUCUCCGUCCAAUCACUGAGCACUUGUUAGCAAAAUGCCCAAACUUUCCGCAACGAAAACAUGUCACACCUUUGUCACCAACUGACUUCCCUCCAGUAUCAGCAGUCGUUGGUUUGUACGUUCUUGAGAUAAGAUCUCUUCUCUCGGGACGCUGAUAUGGUCCCUACUGAUGGUGUAAGACCUGGAUUUUCAGAACAAGCUAAUUUCCGACUCACGCGCAGAAUCAGUGUAAGCGUGACAGGAGUUUGAUAUUUGAGAAAGAUUAAUGAAGAAGAAAGUUCAGGAAUUGAUUGAGGAAUGUUGCGUAGUUGCUUUCGGAGUUAGUGUGAGUCGUCUGCACACCUGCCUUAUGGCGAACGUGUCCAGAAUAGGGUUUUUUCGCUUCUAGAGCAACGUUUUAAGUGAGAUUUCGAAUUCUUGGAAAAUUUAAAGAUUCUCUUUAUUUUUCCUUCGACCAGCGUUUCAUUUCGGAACUCUGGACUGUACGCACGAUAGUAGUCACUUUCCGGAUGUCCGCCGACGCUAAUUUCUUUGCUUCGAAACCCUAGAUUCGAGCGAUGGAUGAAGACUUUUUCUAUUCGGGACUUCUAACGAAGAUUCCGUCCGAGUUGCCAGAUUUGUUUCGACAUUUCCAACCUUUCUUCAGAAGGAAGUUUUGUCGUCCGGCGAUCACAGCAAAAAGUAGUUUUUCGGGGCAGAUUUAACUUACACCGCUUUUGAGAUUUUCGAUAUCGUUUUUCCCAAAUCAUAGACAUUUGUUUUGAGUUCUGGAUUUCUGACGCCAGAAUCUCUCUUAGAAUUCCACGGUGAUCGUGCUGCAAAAAUCGGAAUCGCAAAAUUUUCAUUUUCCCGCGAUUUCACCUGCCUAUAAAUAGCUCAAAAAGCAAAAAUUCCUUCAUUUUCUUCCUAUUGUGGCUGAAUUUCGUGGAGAGCAAGGGGGGAGGAGAUUUUUCGCGAAAACUUGACCAAUCUUCGUGCAGUUCGUCCCUACUUCUAGGUAUUGAGGUAACUAGCAUGAAUCCUAUCUUUGAUUACUGAUUCUCUUGCGUUUCUGAAGCCGUUUCUGUGCUCACAGUUUUGAGCUUUUUCUAAAAUUGUCUGAUUUCUUCGAUUUCUUGGUUGGGUUAUGUUUUCUAGGUUCCCAAGAGCCUAAAACCUCUGUCAGUAAACACCGUUUGCGAUCGAGCUGUCCAGGAUCUGAAAAACUGUUUCAAAACCCCUUUAGUCGCACAUUUCGAAACUUUAUUGUCGAAAAGUCAUAAUCUGACUUCGUGCCAUUAGGAUUAGUUGUUACAUAUGUCGUGAGGAUCAUUGCUGUCAAAUUUGUUUUCAGAACUGAUAACUUUGAAGUUUUGAGCCUUUAUUUUGGACCAAAAUGCCCCUGGAUAGCCGUAUUUCGACCCGAUUGUCCGAAAAUUGUUCCGACAGUUUCUUUGCCUUAGUUUUACCCUAAAACUACCUUGUGAAUUGAUUUGAUCGAAGAAAAAGAGCCGAAGCCCUUUUUCCUUUGAGGUCGUGGGCUAUUUCCUUUAGGGGGAGUUUUUCGGUUUCGAAAACUUGUCUUUUCGUACUCGGAUGUCGUAUUCUGAAGCUUUAAUGCUUUGUCUAUCGUUUAUGUAUUGUAUUGCGAUCGAACUAAUCGAUUUUGUUUAGAUUCUGCUUUGUUUUUCCUCCGAGGUUCAGUUGAAGGAACUUUGGAAGUUUCAAGGCAUUUCUGUGAAGGAGCUUGUGAUUUCGAAGCUGGAUCAGCUCGAGGUUAGGGCAACUUGCUAUAUUUAGCUAUGAUUGCAUGAUAGCUGUCGAUAAAUUCGACUUAUGCUUUAUCUGAUGUUGUAUAUGAUGAUGAUUUAUUGUUAUGAUUGUUUUCAUAACUUAUGAUAUUGAUGAUGUGUUGAAUUGGGCGUUUUGACGCAACUUCGGAGUGGAGGUUCAUUGAUCUGGUGAUCUUUGACAUUUCGGGUUGGAAGAACAACCCUAGGCAAGUUCAAACGAGGGGUUUGAGACUUAGCCAUUUGUUGGUAAUCGUUGAAAUACUUAGACUUUCCCCGGGAAACUUCUUUUGGGUGGUUGGUUUUUGGAAAACUUAGAAGGAUUAGAAUUUUGAAAACUAGAGACUUUGGGGGACUUAGACUUUGAGAAAUAAACUCAUAACCUGACUAAUUCAAUUCGAAACGUUUUUACUAAACGAAUAACUAUAGGAGAACUAAAGGAGAAAAAUAAUUGCGAAAGGCGGGGAAAAGUCGACUUUUGUUGUGGGUUAUGGAGAGAAUUGGGGGAAAGCCACUACGGUGAGCUAAAGUGACGAUUGAAAGUCACCGAGUACUCUAGUACUCUUGGGAGUGUCGUUGGAGUCGUGCUGUAUUGACCGGCACAGACUCUGGGCUUUGUUUGUGGGUUUUGUGGUGGGAGUUGUGUUGUAUUGACCGACACUAACUCCGAGUCGUGUUGUAUUGACCGACACUGACUCUGGCUUUGAUUUUGGGUUAUCUUGUUGUUGGAGCCGUGUUGUAUUAACCGACACUUAGUGCUCGUAUUGUUUGGGUUGUGUUGUAUUGACCGACACUAGACCCUUGUGUAUUCUUGUUGAGGGAGUUGUGUUGUAUUGACCGACACUUACUCCGAGUUGUGUUGUAUUGACCGACACUAACUCAUUGGGUUGGGAGCUAGACACUUUCGUGGUAAGGACGAUUCGUUGUUUGGCUAACCAUAUUGCAUCAAUCGGGUGAAUAACGGGAAUGGUUCACCUGUGCAUAUCAUGGUGAAUAACGGGAAUGGUUCACCUUGCAUAAAUGAUGAAUAACGGGAAUGGUUCAUCAUAUGGUGAAUAACGGGAAUGGUUCACCAAGGAUGAAUAACGGGAAUGGUUCAUCCAUAGUGAAGAACGGGAAUGCUUCACUUGUGGCGAACGGGAACGCGUCACAAAUCCGGAUUCAUGAUUGCAUAUCACGCAUACAUUCAUUCUGACUUGAACUGUGUGCUGUUUGUUUAUUGAAGCAUUGUUAGAGCCAUGACAUGCUAGGAUUGUUUAUAUAUAUAUAUAUAUAUAUAUCAACAUAUAUCUAUACCCCAUAUCACAUGUUGAGUGUAUAUCUACUUAUUUCUGUGAGUUGACCCUAGCGCCUUGGCUUUGGUUGCAUGUUUGUGUUUGGGCGGUCGGCCUGCUGCCAGAUGUCGAUGGCCGACUGGUUUCGAUGGUCUCUCCUUCGGAGGGGAUCAGGUUUAAGAUGGAGGACCGGACUGACGAGCGUGGACGUCUGACGAUAGGAGUUCUACGACGUAUGGAGCUGAGCUUCAACUUGCCAACCUCAGAUCGCUGUGUUCUUGGUUCUGGGAGGAUAGGUUUAGGCAGACGUCAUGUUUUGUGUAGAGCUCUGAUUCGUUUUGCUUUUGGGACAGGGUAGGUUCCCGACACAUGACUUCUUGUGUGGUUCCCUUACUGAGAAAUCACAGUGAGUCAGUCGGACCAUAGGGGUCUUUGCUUAGGCCAUUUUGGGGCCGACUUUCUCUUGGAUAACGGUAUAUUUGACGCUUUUGCGUACAGUUCUGGUUUGUAUAUAUUCGCCUACGGGCAUGCUACCUUGGAGUCACUGCGUGUGCGCGUGACGGGAGAGUGCAGCUGAGGCUGUACAUUUGUAUAUGUUUGUUUAUCGGUUAGUUAGUCGUUGGGUUAGGUCUUUACUUUCUAUUGCCUUGUUUAAAAGGAAUCAAUCGAAAAAAAAUUACCUGUUUUCCGCGUAAAGUUUAUUUUUGGUUACUAAAGUGGCACCCGAAAAUCGGGGUGUUACAUUGUGGUAUCAGAGCUUAGUCGAGUCUUUUGGGAGUCUUUGGGGAAUAGGUCUUCUGUGCUAGGUUGUGUGACUCUGCAAAGAGUGAAAAUUGAUUGUCUGCAGAGCGAUUUUCGCUCUAAUUUCUUGCGUUACUACUCAAUCGGAUUGAGUGGUUUGUCUAGUGCUACCGUAUGGUUAGUACUAAUCGGACGUUCGAUGGGAUAUAGGAUGGUGGAUCUUAACCGGAUGGCGGAGGCGAUAGCUACACUGAUCGAGGCAAUGAUGAACCAGGCUGCGGAAGACGCUUACAUGCGCGCUGAAGAGGCUGCACGUGAGCAUCAUCAACGACUGAUGGCGACGACAAUGUAUCAACAAAGAGGAAUGAACCGAACAGGAGUGGGGACCGUACCAGCGUCCCGAGAGAAGAGAUCUUAACUCAAGAGCGUACAAACCAACGACUGCUGAUACUGGAGGGAAGCCAGUUGGUGACAAAGGUGUGACAUGUUUCGUUGCGGAAAGUUUGGGCAUUUUGUUAACAAGUGCUCAGUGAUUGGACGGAAAUGCUUCAAGUGUAACCGAGAGGGGCAUCUAGCUGUGAACUGCAAGACACUCCAGGGGGAAACGUCUGAUAGUAAGAUGAAAGGGAAUGAUGCUACCGAAGGGACAGGAAACAAGACUUUGGGAAAAACAGUGACGUGUACAGGUGCAGGAAAGUGGGGCACUACAGUAACAAGUGUCCAGACGGGGGAUCUCUAUGCUUCAACUGUGGGGAAAGCGGGCACUAUGCCAGUAAGUGCAAGAUCAAAGAAAGUCCAUGCUUCAAUUGCAACCAACCGAGACAUUUCUUCAGAGAUUGUAAGGCCCCCAAGGGUGAAUCAUCAGGGAAUGUUGGGAAAGGAAAACAACUUGUUACAGAGGAACGGAUUCAUACCAAGGAGGGGACAAGAGCUGAGGAGUUGAACGAGGAAGGACGAGGGAACGAUGGACCUUAUUCAUAGUUGCUCGUGUUUUAACUAUAGAAGUUACACGAGGUUGGGAAUGGCACACUAAGUCUAGAAAGUAGUCUUCCACCGAUGCGAUUAUGAGGAGGCUAGUAGCUGAAGAACGAAUCAUAGGGAGAUUCCGUAAGGGUAGUAUAAGUGUCAUGUUGAGGGUGUGUAGUUCCGUAGCGGGAUCCUUAAAGGAUUUAGUAUCAGGAUAUUUGUGACUACUGGAGGAUAGGAACUCAUUGACUGUUCCAGUGGGUUUUUCUAAAUUUCCACCUUCGAUGUAUUAGGCCCGAUCAACCUAAUAUUGAGGGGGUGAUAUUCGGAAUCACAGCUGGUAAUGGACCUUGAUAGAAGGAUGUGUAAGAUGAAUUUGAAUUGAUUGAGGAUUAGUCGGAUUUGGGAGGAAAGUUUGUGUUAAGCAUUUGAUUGUAAAAGACUAAGAUUUAAAUCUUUGGAAGUCGAUGAGUGCCGUAUAGACAUUGAUUGGUUAGUUCGUGUGAUUACUCCAAGUAGAGGUAGACUAAGUCAAGAGAUUUAAUGCUGGAAAGGUAUUAAGUAGUUUCCCGGAAGUUAUGAAGUCAUAGGUUAUGUGAUUACUGAGUGGAAUUGUUAGAGACUAAAUAAGUUGGAUUUAAUCAGGUUUUAGAUGAUAGCUUGAUGGUAGCAAGAGUGAGAAGAAUUAACUCUGAACUAGAUUGCUGUAGUCGAAUUCGAGGAAUAAGUUUUUCUAAGCGUUUGAUUAAUAUGUGGAGACAUUAUAGUCUUACGAGAUGAAUUCUCACUUGAAAAGUGUUGGAUUGAUUUGGGAAUGAUUAAGUGGGAGAAAGAAAGUUUUAGCAUAAGUUGAAUACUUGAGGUUGUUGAUAUGGAUUCCAAGGAAAUAUGCUAAGAUUACUAAGUGAGAUUGACUAAGUUGGACUGAAAUCUUAGAGUUGAGAUUGACCUUAAGAGUCGAGAAUCGCGUACGAGUAGGAGAUCUUAUGGUCGUAGGUGUGACAAUAGGAGUUGAAUCUUAGGAGAUUGAAGACCUGAAGGUGAGUGCCGGGUUGAAUCCAUUGGGGUAUAAUAUAAGAGUGAUCUUGAGGUAAAUGACUUCUGAGUGGAGUAGAGUGUUAAGACUGGUGAUAAAUUGGUGAAUCGAUUUGUGAUAAAGAGGAAUAUCGAUUUGAUGGUUUUAAUGAUGAUAGCUUCAAAAAGGGGACGACAUCAAUGGAUUCGUUAGAUUUUAAGAUGAUCAUUUGCUUAUGAGUUGGUGAUCGAUUGAUAUUGACUAUGAGGUUGCAGACAUAAUGAUCCAUGUGAUGAGAUUUGAAUGAUGUUAGCAUAAUAAGUAUGAUUGUGAAUGUGAAAGCAUGACGACACUGGUCAGGUCGUUUGGGUAAGUGAAGGAGUUAUAGUUUUAAGAAACGGGUAUUCAUUUAAGAAGUAUUGAAGGAUUAAAGGUCAUUAGACAACCAAACUUGGUGAAGGUUUAGGUUUUAAAUCUAUGAAUGUCUGUCUAAGGUGUGUAGGACUCGAAGUUUGUCAGAAUUUGAUUGAGAGAUUAAGAAGUUGAUUGACGAGAUGGUGAUUGAGUCACAAAAAGGAAGGUGUUAGUAUUAAGAUGAAUACCUGAGGUUGUUAUAUUUUGACGAGUUUCGUAGAGUAUAAGAGUCAAUGGGACUUUGUUAUGGAUUUUGAUGAUGCAUAUUACGGGUAAUAAGUGGAUUUUACUAAAGUUGAGUGAGAAUCCUAGGGCUAAGGUUGACCUAGUGAGCUGAGAUUCAUGUACACAUAAGAGAUUUAGUUGUGUUAGCGGCUACGAUAACAGUUAAAUCUCAUAAUGUUGAAGGAUCGGAUGAUAAAAUGGCUAGUUAAGUCCCCUGAUGUAUAGUUAUGAUUUAAUCUUCUAGAGGAUAAGUCUCGAUUUGUGCGAAGUGUUAGGGAUUUCAGUAAGUGUAAAUAGGUUUGAGUGAGGGAAGUUUUGAGAAAGAAGACGAUAAUAAUGGAUUGUUAGAUAUUAAGAGGAGGAUUAUCUUUUAAGUUGUUGAUAAAUUGAUGUUGAAGGGGAUAAGAUUAGUGAGGGACAAGAAAUAAGGACAUAAGCCGAGUUUUAAUUCGAAUGGUGACCAAGUAGAAGUUUGUUUUCUUGGUGUGUGUAAAGAUAGUUACGAAGUUGGAGGUGUUUAAUGGAAUAGCGGUUUCCAAGGGGAGGAUUCGUCUAGGAGUUAUCGAACGGACAAGUGGAGUUUUGGACUGUAGAUGAAGAUCACGAGGACAAGUUGAGUAUUUACUUUGAAAUGUCAGAGAGGCACCAAGUUUAAGAAGAAUUUCGGACGACCGAAAGUAAAAAGUAAGUGGCUAAGAUUGUGAGACUACACGGAGUUCCGACAAGUAUUGUGUCUGAUCGGAAUCCAAAUUUUACUUCGCACUUUGGGGGAGCUCUUCAUGAUGCGUUAGGAACCAAGCUGAGAUUGAGUUCGGCGUAUCAUCCACAAACUGAUGGGCAAACAGAGAAAACUAUUCAGUCGCUAGAGGAUCUACUACGUACUUGUGUGUUAGACAACAGAGGAAGCUGGGAUGAUCAUCUGCCAUUGAUUGAAUUUACAUACAACAAUAGUUUUCAUGCGAGCAUUGGGAUGGCACCGUAUGAGGCUUUGUAUGGUCGAAAGUGUAGGACCCCGUUGUGUUGGUAUCAAGAUGGAGAGAGUUUGUUGAUUGGGGCCAGAAUUGUUGCAACAGACGACUGAGAAGGUUAAGCAGAUCAGAGAAAAGAUGAGAGCUUCACUGUAAGACCCACUUUUAAUCAAUGUAUUAUGUCCUUUUUAUUAUGAAAAUAUUUGAAUUAUUAAUUAUUCUCAUUUAGGAUUUUAUCCCAUUUUAUUAAGAUUAUUCAAAAGUUAAUAGAUUUAUUUUCUAUUAGCUAAGUUUAUUUCAUUUAAAAUGGAAAUAUUCUUAUCUCCAUAUUCACAAUGAAAAUACUCUCAUUUAUAUUUUUCCACAUAUUUGGAAAGUUAUUUAUGUUAGUGGAAUUUUCCUAACACUUUCCAAUUAAUAGUUAAAUCGUUAUCAUAUUCAGAAAUUGGGAAAUAUUAUUGUGAAGAUCAAUUUGUGAAAGUUAUGGUCAUUUUAGGAUCAUCAUCAUUGAUUAUACUUAUGAUAAUUCUCUGGCAAUUUAUUUUUGGGUUUUGGAUUUUAAAUUGAUUAUUUCAAUAUUUACCGGUUUUUCAGUUUAUCGGUAAAAGAAAGGAAAAUAUUAUCGCGUUAAAUAUUUUUGAGAAAUCAUUUUUAAAACCUAACCAUAAUUACCUAUAUUAUUUUUAGGAUUUCUCUAGGGUAUUUUGGUUGAUUUAUGAUUUUUGGCUAAUUUUUAAUGAUUUUACCUUUGGUAAAUAGUUUAAAAUUAGAAAUAAAUGGUAAAUGGUAAAAGUAAAUUAUGGAAAAAUAAUUUUUAAACCCUAAUUAUUAUUCCUGAGUUCCCUGGGCCAGAUUAGGUCUUGAUUGAUUCGAGUUUGGCACCAUUUGAUCAUUAUUGAGUUUUAAAUCAAUUUAUUUCAUUUUCAUGGCAAACAUCUUACCCUACAUUCAUCAUCAAGUUUCUCUUUACUCACUAAGUGGAUUUGGCUGAUUCAAGGCUUUAAUUAACCCUUCCCACUUCCUCUAUCUGACCCAACAAGUUUCACAUUCAGAUCAUCUCCCAAUCUCUCUAACCAAUCUCACUAAGUUGCCUACUUGAUCUUCAAAUUUCAAGUUUUGGAGUUUUGAACUUUUCCAAAGUAAGUACCAUUUAUACUAAUCACUUGGACUUGAAACUUU
rnacentral:lncRNA from 1 species